CACCAAAACUCUUUGUCAGGAUGCUUUUCCUUUUAGAUUUUACUUUUAGAACGGUAAAUUCUUGCUACAAAAGGGUCUGUUAAAGUUUUGGGAAAGUAAUAACUGUUCUUUCUACCCUCCUGAGUUUUUCAGGUAACAAGUAGAAUUCUAAAGAGGACAAUUUUUCGUUUUGAAAGAUAUACCUUUGAAGAUACCGAACAGCUAGGAUUUUAUGAGUUGAAUUUUGUUGUGUUCCCACUCUUCACGAGUGUUUAUACACCCAUAACAUUAUUCGUAGUAAAAAACCUAACAUUC
rnacentral:snoRNA from 1 species